rnacentral:rRNA from 1 species
AUUGAACGCUGGCGGCAUGCCUUACACAUGCAAGUCGAACGGCAGCACGGGUGCUUGCACCUGGUGGCGAGUGGCGAACGGGUGAGUAAUACAUCGGAACAUGUCCUGUAGUGGGGGAUAGCCCGGCGAAAGCCGGAUUAAUACCGCAUACGAUCUACGGAUGAAAGCGGGGGACCUUCGGGCCUCGCGCUAUAGGGUUAGCCGAUGGCUGAUUAGCUAGUUGGUGGGGUAAAGGCCUACCAAGGCGACGAUCAGUAGCUGGUCUGAGGACGACCAGCCACACUGGGACUGAGACACGGCCCAGACUCCUACGGGAGGCAGCAGUGGGGAAUUUUGGACAAUGGGCGAAAGCCUGAUCCAGCAAUGCCGCGUGUGUGAAGAAGGCCUUCGGGUUGUAAAGCACUUUUGUCCGGAAAGAAAUCCUUGGCUCUAAUACAGUCGGGGGAUGACGGUACCGGAAGAAUAAGCACCGGCUAACUACGUG